CUAUGAUAUACAAUAUAGCCCCCACUUCUAGGGAGAGUCUAUAAUAUACAAUAUAGCCCCCACUUCUAGGGGUGAGUCUAUAAUAUACAAUAUAGCCCCCACUUCUAGGGUGAGUCUAUAAUAUACAAUAUAGCCCCCACUUCUAGGGUAAGUCUAUAAUAUACAAUAUAGCCCCCACUUCUAGGGGUGAGUCUAUAAUAUACAAUAUAGCCCCCACUUCUAGGGAGAAUCUAUAAUAUACAAUAUAGCCCCCACUUCUAGGGGUGAGUCUAUAAUAUACAAUAUAGCCCCCACUUCUAGGGUGAGUCUAUAAUAUACAAUAUAGCCCCCACUUCUAGGGUGAGUCUAUAAUAUACAAUAUAGCCCCCACUUCUAGGGGUGAG